rnacentral:rRNA from 1 species
UACGAAGGGGGCAAGCGUUGCUCGGAAUCACUGGGCGUAAAGCGCACGUAGGCGGAUUGCUAAGUCAGGGGUGAAAUCCUGGAGCUCAACUCCAGAACUGCCCUUGAUACUGGCGGUCUCGAGUCCGGGAGAGGUGAGUGGAACUGCGAGUGUAGAGGUGAAAUUCGUAGAUAUUCGCAAGAACACCAGUGGCGAAGGCGGCUCACUGGCCCGGUACUGACGCUGAGGUGCGAAAGCGUGGGGAGCAAACAGG